UUUCCUUCCUUUCCCCACACUGCUCCAUGAAAUUAAGACAGUUAUAGGCAAUUAAAAAGCUUAGAAAGUUUGUUUCUAGUAGUCUUCUAUUCCUAGAAACAGAAAAGAAAAAAAUUAGUGUAUCAAUAGAAAAGACGGAUCUAUACAAAGGAAUGCACAGUGAAAUGUAUUUGAGUAACUAUAAAAGUGGUAUUUUUCUGUUCCUUUAAUUGCUAUUUUUUACAGUUUUUCCUAAGUUUUAUUUUUCUCAAGAAAUUAACUAUUCAAAGCAAAAAACCCCAGUAACUUGUAGAGUGUAAAAACCAUGAAAAGGAAAGCAUGACCACAGCAGCACAAGCUCUGUGUGCAGAUGUGGGUGGAGUACGGGUGCUGCUAAGUGUAUAUGAGGCGGCAUCUCACCUCAGUGACCAUCAUAAGCUGAAAAUAGCCUACUCAGCAGCAGAGCUGACCAGCAUAAUAUAUACAGUGUGUAUUGUUCACCCUUGUGGCUCUGUAGCUGAUUGAGUACUGUAGCUUGCUGCCACUAUACGUGACUACAUAUCCUUAGUGCAGGAAAAGGUCAGAACUCAGAAAUGAAGUAUGGUUUGUACGAAUUCAGAUUCUUUUAUACUGUCCAAAAGUCAAAAGCCUCAUGAAUUGAACUUUCAGAAAUCAUGGACUGUCUGUGCAUGGCAGUGUUCUCACGUUACAUGUAAAGUGCUACAAGGUAAUAUGUACUGUAUAAAUUAAUGAUACAUGUUAUCAUCCCUAGGGCAUCAUAGUUAGAAUGAAUUAAUAGAGACAGUACUGGCAUGUUAAAAACUACUGCAUUGUAACAAUGAUAAAAAAUUAACUUGACAUAGAAAGAAAACAAAGCACUGAGGAGUAGACUUAUGUUAGUGGAACUUGAUGUAAUAUCUUCACUAAGAAAAAAUUGGUUGUCUUUAUAAAAUUAAAAUAGAGUUAUAUACCUUAAAGUUAUCCUUUGGUUUACAUUCAUACAAAGUUCAUUUAUAAUUUUAUAAUAAAUUUGCCAAACUGAUUUACUCAAAUGUUGAUCAGUAAGUCAAAUCAUUGUCAUGCUUGUACAGUAAACACUGUUUAGCAAAACAAAGAAUUGAGCACUAACUCAGCAGUAAUCUCAAAUGCUGUGAGAUAUUUGAUCACACUGUGAAUCCUGAGAUUGUUAUAUAUUUACUGAAAAAACCUGUUUCUAGUUUUGUGGCUCAGCCCUUUGUACACACCUUUUAUCCCAAACAAUGAAGAUAAGGUUAGUUUGUAGAAAAAGACACACCCAUGUUUGAAAGUGACGUCUAAUUGAGUGGAAGACAAAGUGAUGAAUCAGAGAAAGAUUAGAUAGAAUUGGGUAUGUCCAACUCUCGGGAGGUCAGAGAAAAGAGAGGCUACUUAAAGAGAGAGUAGUGCAGAGAAAAGAGGAGGCUGUUUUACUGGGAGAGGUUUUCAGAGACAGCAAAUAUUCUCUCCCAGCCCAGAGUCUGUCUCUUGCGUUGAUGUUUCCUUUGCCGUACAGAAGCUUUUACUGUGAUACAAUCUCAUUUGUCAGUUCUCGGUGUUAUUUCUGAGUUCCUGCAGUCCUCUUUAGAAAGUCCUUGACAAUACCUUUAUCUUGAAAUGUUUUCUCUCCUUAGCAUCAACUUUUAGAAUUUCUGGAUGUAUAGUAUAAUGUCUUUUAUUCAUGUUUAAUUUAUUUUUGUUCAAAAUGAAAAGUGUAUGUCUAUUUUGAUUUUUCUACAUGUGUUUGUCCAUUUUCCCAGCACUGUAUGUUGAAGAGGUUAUACUUUUCCUCAGUGUAUAUUACUGUAUAUAUUAUUUGCAUCUUUGUAAAAAAUAUGGUUCACAAUUAAUUGUAUGGAUUUAGUUCUGAGGCUUCUUGUCUAGUCUGUUAACUGUGUCUGCUUUGUACCUGUUGGAUACUGUUUUUAUUACUGUUGUUUUGAAGGGCAAUUCAAAAUUCAAAAUAUUCUCAGUAUUGUUCUUUUUGCUUAUGUUUGGUUUGGAUGUUUGCAAUCUUCUGUGCCUUCAUGUGAAUUUCUAGUUCUGUAAAAAAGGUUACUGGAAUUUUGAUGGUGAUUGUAUUAAAUAAGGUCAUUUUUGGUAAAACAGCUAUUUUUGCACUGUCAAUUUUACC
ensembl:sense_intronic Gm42869 predicted gene 42869